AAGUUUGGCAAGUACACAAUUAUGUCUGACAGACAAAAGGGAUUGUUGAAUGCAAUCAAUGAUGUAUUCCCUGACUCCCCACAAAGGUUUUGUCUUAGACAUAUAUAUGCCAACUUCCAAUCUGCUGGUUUUAGAGGGGAGGAACUCAAGAAACACUUAGAUCAAGCUGCCUAUUCCUUCACUAAGAAUGGUCAUGAAGAAGGGAUGGAAAAUUUGAAGAAAGAAAGUUUUGAAGCUUGGCAGUGGUUGUCACAGAUACCAGACCAUACAUGGGCUAGAUAUAAAAUGGAUACUGUUUGCAAAACUGACCUGGUUGUUAACAACCUU
rnacentral:rRNA from 1 species